UUGAGCGGUAUGCCUUGAAAGAGGCACGUACCGUUCUUAGGGGAGGGGGUGGCAGUAAUGUCACCCCUUUACCCGAC
rnacentral:ncRNA from 1 species